CACCGCCCGUCACACCAUGGGAGUCGAUUGCUCCAGAAGUGCCUGAGCCAACCGCAAGGAGGCAGGCCCCAAGGAGUGAUCGGUAACUGGGGUG
rnacentral:rRNA from 1 species